UUCCUGAUGCUCCUUUUGUCUUCAGAAUGGGAUAGAAAAGCAUCUCCUGAGAGAGACGUUUGAGGACUCCAAUCUGCUACCGAAAGAGAUUCUCUGGCGACCGAAAGAAGCCUUCAGUGAUGGCAUAACCUCCGUUAAGAAUUCCUGGUUUAGGAUUUUACAGGAACAUAUUGAGCAUCAGGUUGAUGAUGCAAUGAUGGCAGCGGCAGCCCAGAAGUUUCCCUUCAACACUCCU